UCCCUUGGGAGGGGAGACCCAGAGUGUGGGGGUACUGCUGUGGGCAGAACCCCAAGGUAAAGGGCACCGGGGUCCAGGAAUAACAUGGGGGCCUGAGGCAGGAGAGAUGCCAGACAGCAGGGGGUGCUCCAAGUGCUGGAAUUGAGCUAUCUCCUGGAUGACCACCGGGAGACGCCGCAGCGGUGAGUCUGCGACCUGUUAUGUUUAGCAUAUCCAUUUUUAUUAUUGCUACACCGUGAAGCCUUGAAUUUGUAACAAUGAGUUCAAUGCGUAUGCAUGGCACAACAGUGCAGCAAUGACCUCUAUUGCUCCUUGCACUGGCAUGGCAUAUUUCUGCAGGUUUAUUCUUGUAUCAUUUUUCCUACCCUUAUUCCUGUAUUUCUUUUUUGUUUUGUUCUUGUUUUUUUGUUUUUUUUUUAAAUGGAAAUUAGAUUCUGAUUGUGUAGUUGUGGAAACCACAUUACAGUAUUUACUCUGCUUACUACAUAUGGGCUUAUUGAGAAAUUAAUAAGCGAGAUCCAAAGUAUGACUGUAAGUGGUACCUUUGCAUAUAGGUCAGUCAGCCCUGGGAAUUGGCGGGAAUGGAUUUAAUAGAGCCAUUAUCAACAACAAAUAAGGGAUACCAGUAUAUACUGACAGCCACAGAUUAUUUUAUAAGAUGGGUGGAAGCAUUUCCCCUCUGAAACAAGUCAGCAUAUGAGGUGGGAAAGAAAAUGUGCAAAGCUAUUAUUCGAUUUGAAUGUCGACAGUGGAUACUGUCAGAUUGCGGUUCUGAAUUCAAUAAUAAAGUAAAAACUUAUUUUUGAGGUGAUUUUUUUUUUUUUUUAAUUAUUUCUUCAACCACACUAUCAGGUAACAAAUAGUUGAGGGUGAAUAUUAGCUUCAUUGCCCUUGUGGGGUUUUGGGUUUUUUUAAUAUAAAUUGUUGAUGAUGUUUUCUGAACACCCAUUCUACUUUUUACAAACCCUGUGGUUGGUCACCCCAUCAGGGUUGCUAUAAACGUUUUUUGGUGUCUUCUUACUCACCCCCAAAAAAACCCCCAACAUAUUAUUCCAGGUAAUAAUACUAAAAUAUGGGAUAGUAAACCACAGUAAUUACAGCUAAAAUCAAUGGCAAAUUGACAUACAUAUAGACCUGUCCAAAGGCAAGUUUAUGGCAUAAUUUAUUUUCUUUCAGUUGACCUGGAUAUUUGCAAAAAAAAAAAAAAAAAAAAAAAAAUUGGAUUAGAAUGUAGUUUCACCAGACCAUUCACAAACCAAUAGAUUUGAUGGAUUGGUUUGUGUUUUCAUCCAAAGGUAAUUUUAGGGUGGGAAAAUUACAGUAGUAAAGGCAAGUAGAAUGCAUCAUGCCAGAAGCUGCAAAUUGGUUCUAAAUCUUCAAAGUCAACUACAUUGCAAGUCUUUUUACCAUAUCAUAUGUAAAAUGAAAAAUAAUCAUAUCAAUGCACUGUGAUGGUCUCCUCCUUAUGCCUUUUUGAUUCCAUAUAAUCUGUAUCAGUCAAGACAUUGUUUACUUUUUUUCCGCACAAACUAAUCAAUCACCAUUUGUUACAGAGCAUUGCAGAAGUUGGCUGAUAACACUGGAAGUAAUUGGUAUGAAUUUCUUGAUGACAUUUUUGUUUUUUUGUGAUCUAAACCAAACAUGACAACAAAAAGUCACCCUUUUGACUACUGUAUGCCUUGGAAGUAAAAUUUCUAGACCAAGUCUCAGAAAAUUACACAGUAAUUGUAGUUAAAUACCAUCAGCUUUUAUGUAAAGAAUCAAAGAAUAACAUAUUCUCUUCAUAAACCCCUUCUCCAUUUGUUUACAAAGCCACCAAUUUUCAAGGAACUUGCUGAACAAUACUACAAAGAGUACAGCAUAAAUUUGAAAUCUAGAAAGGAUGCUGACAUUGCACUGGCUCCUAGUAAUAUUUCUAAAGCACAAGAAAUACACCAAAUGCAAUACGCUAGAAGAAAGUUAUAAAUAUGGGAACAUAACAUUUGAGGUUGGGGACUGUAUUAUGUUACUGAAUGACAGAAAGAGAACAAGAAAGGAAGGUCCGCUGCAACCUACCUAUCAUGGACCAUACAAAAUUACCAUUUUUGUAGGUAAGAGUUAAACUGGAAACCAUCCAGGGAAACUUUUAGAAUCUGUGUAUAGUAUCUUCCACUUAAAAUCCUUUAAAGAGCCACCAACAUUAGGGUGCUGAAAACAGAUCACAGGAAAACAUGGAAAUGGAGACUGCUGUGGAUGACAUUGAAAAAAGUUCCCUUAGAAGAGAUUGGAAAAAUGGGUAGUGAUGUACCUCACAAGCCUCAUGACAGCAGAAUGAUCAACAUGGAGGUUACGGACUCGGAAGAAGAGGUGUGUGUAGGGGAAGAAGUUGCAAGCAAUGAUUCAAGUGGUGUUGAUAACCUGCUUAUGGAAGAUGGGGAAGACACACUAUGGUUUCUCAAAGGUAAUUGCUUACUACACUUUUUUUAUUUUAUUUUUUUUUAAAUAACCAUUUACAUUUAUGAAGUAUGUUAAAAAAAUUUAAUGUGAAAAUGGCAGCAUUCACUAUGGUAAAACAGAAAAAUGAAACUGUAUUACCGUGCUUGUAAUAUGUAUUUUUUUUCUAGUAAAACUUGUACAGACCCACAAGGUUACACUGAGACUGGAGGCCAAGGUGAGAAAAAUCAGUUUGUAUGACUUUUCAUUUCAUGGCCUGAAGCCAAGAAGCUGGCUGGGUGACUAGGUAAAUUUAACUAGCAGUAAACUUGGGUGGUGACUGGAUUGAUUCGUCAAAUAUUUUUGAAAUUUUUAACGAUUCUUUCAUCUGUUGUAGGUUGUUGAUACAUAUUUUUGUUAUGUGAUCGAGAAAGCAAGUGGAAUGGUAGGCCACUUAUUGUGAUGCUACAUGGAAAUAUCAAUAAUUAAACCAUCAAAUGAAUAUGUGGUAAAACAUAUUUAAGUCCAGAUAGCCUAGAAGUGUGAAUAUAAACCUCUAAUUGAAGCAUUUUGCUGUAGUUACUGCUGCCAAAUAUACUCAAAAGUAUUUUGAAGUGUAUAUACCUGAGAUACAGUCUUUCUCAUGUUGAAGGCCACCUUAGUUUUGCUAUACAGUUCAGUGAGGCCAUGACUUCAACAGUGGUUUGGACACUGGUUAGUCAGCUUUUAAAGUAAGUCAGAGCAUAUGGGGGUCUUAAAAAUAAAAGGUUUUUAAUCCAUCUUAUGUAACUUAUUUGUAACCAUACAGAUCCCUUCCAUGUAUGUAUCUAUGAACUACAUCACGUUCUUCGUGUGUCACAACGAUUGAUCCAUUAAAAACUUGCUUGUAUGUCAGCAGGUAUGAGCCAUCUUUUCGGUAGUUUCCACUAGCCUUCUGUCAGGCGGAGCAACACAAAUGCCACUGAAGAGUGGAAUUAUGCAGCGUGAUAUAUUAUUGCUUCCUUUCAACACAUAAAAUCAGUGGGUUAUUGUGAUCCUUCAUCUACCAAGUAACUGGAAAAUCCACAAUGGAACUCUGGAAAACAUUGUGGAACACAAGAGACAAACUGAUGGGCACAACUGUGUGGACCACUCAUCAUUAUUAUUUGUUAAUGAUGUGUAAUUAUGAUGGGUUUUCUAAUUAGAAGUGUUAUUAGUUUGCAGAAAUGUAUUUACAGCAUAAAGACCUCAGUACUGUAGAAACCACAUGAGGUUCUAACUAGGUUUAGAAGAAAAAUUAGCAAUUAUUUUAAUGAAAGAGUCAGGUAAUAACUUUGUUACAUAUACCUAGUGAGCCCGUAGAAUAUGGGAAGAUAACAGGAAGAGUGGAAUAAUGUUAUAUCACAAACAGUUAUCUUAAUACACCUACAGUGGGGUAUAUCACAGGUUUGGCUCUGCAAUGAUGACUCUGUAUGAAUAAUUUCUAUAAGUACUGAAAAGUGUGUGUGUGUGUGGGGGGUAAAUAGUUGAUAGAGCAGUGAAAUCUAAGUGGAUGUCUUUAUAUCCGCCAGCAGUAAACUAAGAGUUUGAGAAACAUAGAUUAGGGUACUGAUAUAAUUUAAAAUGACCCCUCCCCCUCCCCCCCACAAAAGAAAUAUUUGUAAACCAGUUAAUUGAAAUUGACUUUAAAUAGAAAUCUUGAGUUUAUUCAUUAGAGUUUUGGUCCUAACAUAUUUUAGUACUGUACAUUGAUUGACUUUUCAGAGAACAUGGAGUACGGCAACUUUGUCACUUGCAAAAAAGAAAAUGAAGGUUGCAUGAUAAGAAACUAAAAAUUCUGAGGAAAAAAACACCAUAUGUUGGAGCAGAUAAGUAAGCAGAAUGAUUUAUAGUACAAGAACAAAAGUCAUGGCCUGAGAUCUAGCCAGUUACAUAUAGACCCAACAUAAUAACCUGCCUUAGGAUCAGGAUUCUUGUAGUAAUUCCACAGUAGUGAAUAUUUCCACUGCUGCUGAUAGCCAUAUCUUGGCUAAUUAUAUUGUUCAAGGAAUAUUUUUAAAUGUUAUGAGUUAAUUGAAAUUAUAUUUAGCAUUAUUCUGUGAUUUCAUUUUCUCAUCUAUUACUUAUCAGAAAUCCAGUGUGACUCUUGUAAGAGGUGAGCACAUGUCUCCUGCCUUUCAGAGGGAACCAAUGAGGAGAACCCAAUUAAGAGGAAAAAAAUACAGCUGCAAAAAGUGUGCAUAGGUCAGAUGUUUACAAAAAAUGUAAUUUGUUUUGUGAAGAGAAAUAUUUUGGCUUUCCUGGAAUAACACAACUGGAAUAUAAAUGAGUAAUAGAGAACUUUAAUUUCACUAAAGAAAAGUGUUAAGUGUAUUUAUAAACAUGCUUAGAUGCUUUUUUUUUUUUUUUUUAAAUGUUGAAAUGAAAAAUAAACAAUUCUUGUUUACAUAGCUUGUUAUAAUAAAGCUUUUAAAUUUUGAAAAAUACCUCUUUGCCUACACUUACAGUGGCGAUUUUGUCAUACUCUGGUCCAGGGGUAGCUAAUUGUGAUGGACCAUUGAUACCCUCUUCAAAUUUGCUAUCCCUGGACCAGAGGAUGACAAGAGUGAGAGGUAGCAAAUUGUGUACUCAGCAAUUCUGGAUCUUGGUGUAUGGAGAUUGGAAAAAAUAAGGGAUUUUCCAUGUAAUAAAAGAACUGCUGGCAACCCUACCUAUAAUUCUCAGCAUGCAGGAGCUGGGCUGUCAGUUAGAGCCCUCCAGCAGGACUGAGGUCCCGCAGGACCUGCUUCCAUAAUAGUGGGAGUGGGUAAAAUCUACUUUGUUGUGGGGGGGAUUGGGUGUGCGCCCCCCCCCCCAAAAAAAAAAAACAAAAAAAAAACCCAGCCUGUGGUAAUUUGCAGGAAAACAAAUAGAAUUUAAGCAAUGUAAAACAAGCUUUCCACCAUUUAUUUUUUUUAAAAAUAAAUGUUUUAAUACUUUAAGCAAGGGAUAGAAAGAGAUUUGAUGUCUAUUAUA